ensembl:misc_RNA
UUAACAGCCCAAGAAGCCACAGUCCUCUCUUUUUUCAACCAAACAGGUUCAGCAAGGGUGGAAGGAACACAAGCUUCCCCCAGUCUGCUCAAGCAAUAUGCCUCAACCCUGACCUGAGAGAAUAUCUCUAAGGGGAAAGGCAUUUGUUACAUUUCUUUUCCAAUUAAUUUGACAGCUCU